GUACUUGCUUUGGCAGCACAUACACUAAAACUGGAAUGAUACAGAGAUUAGCAUGGCUCUUGUGCGAGGAUGACACAUAAAUUUGUGAAGUGUUCCAUAUUUAA